rnacentral:rRNA from 1 species
GACGAACGCUGGCGGCGUGCCUAAUACAUGCAAGUAGGACGCAGUUGCGAACGGGUGAGUAAGGCGUAGGUAACUACCUAUUAGAGGGGGCUAACUAUUGGAAACGAUAGCUAAUACCGCAUACUAGUAGAUGGACCUGCGUUGUAUUAGCUAGUAGGUAGGGUAAUGGCCUACCUAGGCAACGAUACAUAGCCGACCUGGGAUGGUGGACGGCCACACUGGGACUGAGGAACGGCCCAGACUCCUUCGGGAGGCAGCAGUAGGGAAUCUUCGGCAAUGGGGCGAAAGCUGACCGAGCCACUCCGCGUGAGUGAAGAAGGUUUUCGGAUCGUAAAGCUCUGUUCUGAAGGAAGCGGUACUUAACCAAGAAGGGACGGCUAACUACGUGCCAGCAGCCGCGGUAAUAC